AGAUUGAACGCUAGCGGGAUGCUUUACACAUGCAAGUCGAACGGCAGCGCGGACUUCGGUCUGGCGGCGAGUGGCGAACGGGUGAGUAAUAUAUCGGAACGUGCCCAGUAGCGGGGGAUAACUACGCGAAAGCGUGGCUAAUACCGCAUACGCCCUACGGGGGAAAGGGGGGGAUUCUUCGGAACCUCUCACUAUCGGAGCGGCCGAUAUCAGAUUAGCUAGUUGGUGAGGUAAAGGCUCACCAAGGCGACGAUCUGUAGCUGGUUUGAGAGGACGACCAGCCACACUGGGACUGAGACACGGCCCAGACUCCUACGGGAGGCAGCAGUGGGGAAUUUGGACAAUGGGGGAAACCCUGAUCCAGCCAUCCCGCGUGUGCGAUGAAGGCCUUCGGGUUGUAAGCGUACUUUGGACGAGGAAGAAACGGUCGUCGUCCGUAA
rnacentral:rRNA from 1 species